rnacentral:piRNA from 1 species
UGAGCUGGACUACAUACUCUGUGCUGAAG